rnacentral:lncRNA from 1 species
AAAGAGUAUACAUAUAACUGUAAGCAGUGGGAUAAUAUCAUAAUGCUGUUUUGUUUUCAAUGAGGCAUCUUCUAUUUAAAUCUUUGUUUCUUGGCCUUUCCUUCUCUCUUUCCCUAUUCUCCAUACCCUCACCUGCACCCCAGCUAAUCCAUGCUAACCACUGGGUAUUCAUAUCUCCAUGACUUUUUUCAUUUCGUGCUCAUAAAAUUGUGUAUUGUGUUUGGCUCCCCAUAACGGUGACCCAACUAAAGAGGCUUAGUCAUUUAGGGGUUUAUUCUUGUCUCUAAGAGUCUGGGGUUAGUAUGAAGGUUCCACAAAGGGAGUUUUCUGCCUGUAGUCUUUCACAGUCAUAUUUUCAAAGUCAUAAAAUGACAGCAAAAGCACUAGCUAAUCAUAUCCUGAUUCCAGAUAAGAAAAGGGGAACACCAGGGGCAAAAGGAACUUCACCAAACACUUCAUCUAAAACUUCCACUUAAAUCUCAUUGGCCACUUCUGCCGCAGUCUGGCUGGGCACAAAUCACGAGCCACUCAAGCAGGAACAAACUUUAUUUCCGAACUCACGCGAACACCACCCACGCGGCCCUCUACACACACUUCCCGGGAACAUACUGCCUCCACCGGGCUCCCCGUGCCAAUUCUCCCAGAACCCCGCGAGAACUCAACGGGAACUCCAAAGUAGCGGGCGCCCGAGGCAGCAGGAUCCGCCCUCAUCCCAGCAGGAUCCACCCUAAUUCCAGAGCCGCCCUAAUCCCAGAGCAGGGUUACCUUUCAACCAUUCCCUGUAGCAAAAUGCCAGGCGUCAUUCUGACUAAACUGUGGCUCUCAACAACUUCAAUCUGCAAGAAGAGACAAGAAAUGUUCUUCUCUUGGCACAUUGCUACCUCUGAUAAAGGAGGUUCUCUUAGCAAGAAAGAAAGAGAAUAGAUUUAGGUAAACAACGGGCCAUCCAUUGAGAGGGAGAAGGGGAGAGAGAGAGAGAGAAGGUUUUUG